CUCAUAGCGUAUAUUUAAGUUGUUGCAGUUAAAAAGCUCGUAGUUGGAUUUCGGGCCCAGGCGGCCGGUCCGCCGUUUCGGUGUGCACUGGUCGGCUCGGUCUUUCUGCCGGGGACGCGCUCCGUCUUGACUGCCGGACGCGGAGUCGGCGACGUUACUUUGAAAAAAUUAGAGUGUUCAAAGCAGGCUUACGCUCUGAAUACUAUAGCAUGGAAUAACACGAUAGGACUCCGAGCCUAUUUUGUUGGUCUUCGGGACCGGAGUAAUGAUUAAGAGGGACAGUUGGGGGCAUUCGUAUUACGGUGUCAGAGGUGAAAUUCUUGGAUUUCCGUAAGACGAACUUCUGCGAAAGCAUUUGCCAAGGAUGUUUUCAUUAAUCAAGAACGAAAGUUGGGGGCUCGAAGAUGAUCAGAUACCGUCGUAGUCUCAACCAUAAACGAUGCCGACUAGGGAUUGGAGGAUGUUAAUUCGAUGACUUCUCCAGCACCUUAAGAGAAAUCAAAGUUUUUGGGUUCCGGGGGGAGUAUGGUCGCAAGGCCGAAACUUAAAGGAAUUGACGGAAGGGCACCACCAGGCGUGGAGCCUGCGGCUUAAUUUGACUCAACACGGGGAAACUUACCAGGUCCAGACAUAGUAAGGAUUGACAGAUUGAGAGCUCUUUCUUGAUUCUAUGGGUGGUGGUGCAUG
rnacentral:rRNA from 1 species